rnacentral:lncRNA from 1 species
UGGGCAAGUAAAGAGGGGGGCGUCGGCUCUAUGGGGGCUGAAGGGACACUGUAUGGGGCCGCUAUGUGGCGCAGGAUGGCUCCUUAUGGGGCAUCUAUGGGGCUGAGACAACUUAAAUGGGGCACCUAUGGGGCAGGAUGCUCCUUAUGGGGACACUAUGGGGCUGAAAGAGACACUUAUGGGCAACCUAUGGGGCAGGAUUGGCCCUUAUGGCAAUCUAUGGGCUGAAGGGACACUUAUGGGUGCAGCUAUGGGGCAGACGGCUACUUAUGGGGCAACGCUUAUGGGGCUGAAGGUCACUUAAUUGGGGCAGCUCAAUGGGGCGUAAAGUCCACUAAGGGGCAGCUAUGGGGCAGGGAUGGCUGCCUUAAUGGGGCAAGCUAUGGGGCCCCCCCCCCCCCCCCAAAGGGACACUUAUGGGGCAGAAGGGACAGUUGUGGGGCAGCUAUUGAGGGCAGAAGGGACACUUAUGGGGCAUCUAUGGGGCAGAAGGGACACUUGUGGGGCAGCUAUGGGGCUGAAAGGACACUUAUGGGGCAGCUAUGGGGCUGAAAGGUCACUUAUGGGGCUGCUAUGGGGCAGGAGGGACACUUAUGGGGCAGAAGAAUUAUUUACGGGGCAUCUAUGGGGCAGGGUGUCUACUUAUGGGGCAGCUAUGGGAACCCACACCGUGUUCCCCCCACAGGUCCCCCACCCACAGACGUCGGCGAUGUCACCUUUGAAAGCCCCCCCCAAGAUAAUGACCCCAAUGUGUGGGGCAGACCCCAAUGUGUGGGGCAGACCCCAAUAUGUGGGGCAGACCCCAAUAUGUGGGGCUGACCCCAAUGUGUGGGGCUUCGGUUUUCCUUGUUUAACCCGAAAUUGUUGUUUUUUCACCCCAAAAUAAAAUGAGAAAUGGUUGGAGAGAUUGUGGGGCUAUGGGGGGGAGAUGUGGGCAGAAAGGGGGGGAGAUGUGGGGCAGAAGGGGGGAUGUGGGGCAGAAGGGGGGAGAUGUGGGGCUGGUGGGGGGAGAUGUGGGGCAGAAGGGGGGGGCAACGAUGUGGGGCAGAUAAGGGGGGGGAAGUGGGCAGAAAGGGGGCGGAGAUUGGGCUGGUGGGGAGAUGUGGGCAGAAGGGGGCGGAGAUUG